rnacentral:rRNA from 1 species
CCUACGGGAGGCAGCAGUGAGGAAUAUUGGUCAAUGGGCGGAAGCCUGAACCAGCCAAGUAGCGUGCGGGAUGAAGGCCCUACGGGUCGUAAACCGCUUUUGCACGGGGAUAACACCCUCCACUUGUGGAGGUCUGCAGGUACCGUGCGAAUAAGGGCCGGCUAAUUCCGUGCCAGCAGCCGCGGUAAUACGGAAGGCCCGAGCGUUAUCCGGAUUCAUUGGGCUUAAAGGGAGCGUAGGCGGGCGUUCAAGUCAGCUGUAAAAUCGCGCGGCUCAACCGCGCCCCGCAGUUGAAACUGGACGCAUUGAGUUCACAACAGGCAGGCGGAAUGCGUGGUGUAGCGGUGAAAUGCAUAGAUAUCACGAGGAACCCCGAUUGCGAAGGCAGCCUGCCGGGGUGCGACUGACGCUGAGGCUCGAAGGUGCGGGUAUCAAACAGGAUUAGAUACCCCAGUAGUC